UACGUAGGGGGCAAGCGUUGUCCGGAAUCAUUGGGCGUAAAGAGCGUGUAGGCGGCCAGAUAAGUCCGCUGUGAAAUCUCGAGGCUCAACUUCGAGCUGUCGGUGGAAACUGUCUGGCUAGAGUCCGGAAGAGGAGAAUGGAAUUCCAGGUGUAGCGGUGAAAUGCGUAGAUAUCUGGAGGAACACCGGUGGCGAAGGCGGCAUCCUGGACCAAUAUUGACGCUGAGGAGCGAAAGCCAGGGGAGCAAAGCGGG
rnacentral:rRNA from 1 species